UACGUAGGGUGCAAGCGUUGUCCGGAAUUAUUGGGCGUAAAGAGCUCGUAGGCGGUCUGUCGCGUCGGCUGUGAAAUCCCGGAGCUCAACUCCGGGUCUGCAGUCGAUACGGGCAGACUGGAGUACUGCAGGGGAGACUGGAAUUCCUGGUGUAGCGGUGAAAUGCGCAGAUAUCAGGAGGAACACCGGUGGCGAAGGCGGGUCUCUGAGCAACGACUGACGCUGAGGAGCGAAAGCGUGGGGAGCGAACAGG
rnacentral:rRNA from 1 species